rnacentral:lncRNA from 1 species
GGGGCGCCUAGGCGCCUGGACAUGGCGCCUAGGCGCUGCUUGCCCUUCUCUUCCCUUUCUUCUCUUCUUGCUUCCCUCCUUCUCACAAUUCUCCACCUCGUACAUCAUUUGAUAGACCUCAAAUUUUGGACGAACACAAGAAGAAGAAACAAGCACCAAAAACUCGGCUGCAUCAUUCAAACCAUGAUUGCCUACGUACCCAAAACUCGGGAUCAAGCCUCCGUAGUUCACCUCCACCUUCAUAUACUCCACCUCAUUUCAACCUCGCCCCGAAGGGCCAUGCCCUCUCGGGCAUAUCAACACGGACUAAUGUGAAGCAAGUCCAAGCAAUGUUGAAACUUGC